rnacentral:rRNA from 1 species
GGGAACGUACCCUUUACUACGGAACAACUCCGGGAAACUGGAGCUAAUACCGUAUGUGCCCUUCGGGGGAAAGAUUUAUCGGUAAAGGAUCGGCCCGCGUUGGAUUAGCUAGUUGGGGGGGUAAAGGCCUACCAAGGCGACGAUCCAUAGCUGGUCUGAGAGGAUGAUCAGCCACAUUGGGACUGAGACACGGCCCAAACUCCUACGGGAGGCAGCAGUGGGGAAUAUUGGACAAUGGGCGCAAGCCUGAUCCAGCCAUGCCGCGUGUGUGAUGAAGGCCUUAGGGUUGUAAAGCACUUUCACCGGAGAAGAUAAUGACGGUAUCCGGAGAAGAAGCCCCGGCUAACUUCGUGCCAGCAGCCGCGGUAAUACGAAGGGGGCUAGCGUUGUUCGGAAUUACUGGGCGUAAAGCGCACGUAGGCGGAUAUUUAAGUCAGGGGUGAAAUCCCAGAGCUCAACUCUGGAACUGCCUUUGAUACUGGGUAUCUUGAGUAUGGAAGAGGUAAGUGGAAUUGCGAGUGUAGAGGUGAAAUUCGUAGAUAUUCGCAGGA